CCUAAUACAUGCAAGUAGGACGCACAGUUUAUAUCGUAGCUUGCUACACCAUAGACUGUGAGUUGCGAACGGGUGAGUAACGCGUAGGUAACCUGCCUAUUAGAGGGGGAUAACUAUUGGAAACGAUAGCUAAUACCGCAUAACAGUAUGUAACACAUGUUAGAUGCUUGAAAGAUGCAAUUGCAUCGCUAGUAGAUGGACCUGCGUUGUAUUAGCUAGUAGGUAGGGUAAAGGCCUACCUAGGCAACGAUACAUAGCCGACCUGAGAGGGUGAUCGGCCACACUGGGACUGAGACACGGCCCAGACUCCUACGGGAGGCAGCAGUAGGGAAUCUUCGGCAAUGGGGGGAACCCUGACCGAGCAACGCCGCGUGAGUGAAGAAGGUUUUCGGAUCGUAAAGCUCUGUUGUUAAGGAAGAACGAGUGUGAGAAUGGAAAGUUCAUGCUGUGACGGUACUUAACCAGAAAGGGACGGCUAACUACGUGCCAGCAGCCGCGGUAAUACGUAGGUCCCGAGCGUUGUCCGGAUUUAUUGGGCGUAAAGCGAGCGCAGGCGGUUAGAAAAGUCUGAAGUGAAAGGCAGUGGCUCAACCAUUGUAGGCUUUGGAAACUGUUUAACUUGAGUGCAGAAGGGGAGAGUGGAAUUCCAUGUGUAGCGGUGAAAUGCGUAGAUAUAUGGAGGAACACCGGUGGCGAAAGCGGCUCUCUGGUCUGUAACUGACGCUGAGGCUCGAAAGCGUGGGGAGCGAACAGGAUUAGAUACCCUGGUAGUCCACGCCGUAAACGAUGAGUGCUAGGUGUUAGGUCCUUUCCGGGACUUAGUGCCGCAGCUAACGCA
rnacentral:rRNA from 1 species